AGCUCAAUACAAUAACACAAAUAUUACUGCUCUUUUUUUCUCUUUCUCUUCGGCCUUUGCUUUCGCAAGCUAUAACGCCGACCCUUUUCUUUUUCCCCCUUCUCUCUCUUUCUACUCUUUCAAAACAACGAAAUUCCCAGAAAGUCUUUCAAUCUCGUCACCGUCGUCAAUGGGAAAAACAAAGCUUCGAUUACGUUUGUAAUUCAGGCAUUCGUAGGAAAUUUUCUGGUUUCGGGUGUUUGACCUUUUUUUUAAUUAUGUUUUGGGAAAUUUAAUUCAUUGUUAUAGUAUUAUCUUUCCUUCUCUAUGCUCUGAAACAGUUUUAGAGUGAGAAAGCUCAAUCUGAAACGAAUCUCUGUUCCAUUACAUUCAAUCCACCCAACCCAAAUUUUUUCUUCUUCUUCUCCGAUUUGUCAUCGGUUUGAUGUUUCGAUUU